rnacentral:lncRNA from 10 species
CCUGAGCCCGUAUCCCACGGUGACUCGACCCCAAUCUCCCAGCUGCUAGCCCCCCCGGAAAAAUCUUAUCUCCCCCCGCCCUGGCCAUCACCCCUCCGCAUCCCCUUUCCCCCAAAUCCUCCCCAGCACGCGCUGGAGAAAACUGCGGGCCGAGGAACACCCCAUCCUCGCCGGAGGCUGCUGCCCCCAGGGCAAAGCUUCAGGAAGACCAGCCGAAAAUCAAGCGAGAACAACCCCCCUUUCCUGCAGAAAGGGCCCCAGACUCCUGCAAAAGGGCCCCGACUGCUGAGAAGCCCCUCCCGCCCUUGCCUCAUCUUUCCGACUUCCCUGCCUGCCACGUCUCCUUUCCUUUCCAGCAAGAAGCAGAGUGUGGAGCCCUCAUCCAUUUCCAGCUGACAGCAGAGCCUGGUCUGAGCAGAUGUUUACUGAACACACUCCAAGAUCCAUGGACCCAGGCUGGAGACGAAAAGGGAAAUUAAACAUGGUCCAGAGUUUGUGGGCUCUUCUAGGUGACUCCUGAGAACAUGGCAUGAUACCUGGCAAAUAGUAGUUGCCUAAUAAUGCUUGGUGAACUGAAUAGUAAACAAUUGGUAAAUAG